UGUUAUGAAGUCUUGGUUUUGAAUUCAAUGAUAGGAUUUUGAAUCAAAGAUCCUCCUUUAGUAGUUCUGUCUUGGAACUUGAAAUGAAACAAUUCUAUGACUAUCUUAAUUGAUCAAUUCAUUAACUACUCUGUUUUACAAUAAUUAAUCAUUUUUAUAACUUCAUUUACCUCGAUUUUAAUGUUAUGUUCAUUGUUAAGUGGCAUAUUUACUAGAUUUUGAAGCAGCUUAUUUCAAUGAUAACAUGUUAUUUUCCCUUGGAA
rnacentral:misc_RNA from 1 species